GGUGUACUAACAGGAUUCCCCUAGUAACUGCGAGUGAAGCGGGAAAAGCUCAAAUUUAAAAUCUGGCGGUCUUUGGCCGUCCGAGUUGUAGUCUGGAGAAGUGCUUUCCGCGCUGGACCGUGUAUAAGUCUCUUGGAACAGAGCGUCAUAGAGGGUGAGAAUCCCGUCUUUGACACGGACUACCAGUGCUUUGUGAUGCGCUCUCAAAGAGUCGAGUUGUUUGGGAAUGCAGCUCAAAAUGGGUGGUGAAUUCCAUCUAAAGCUAAAUAUUGGCGAGAGACCGAUAGCGAACAAGUACCGUGAGGGAAAGAUGAAAAGCACUUUGGAAAGAGAGUUAAACAGUACGUGAAAUUGCUGAAAGGGAAACGCUUGAAGUCAGUCGCGUUGUCUGGGACUCAGCCUUGCUUUUGCUUGGUGCACUUUCCGGAUGACGGGCCAGCAUCGAUUUUGACCGUCGGAAAAGGGCUAGGGUAAUGUGGCACCUCCGGGUGUGUUAUAGACUUUAGUCGCAUACGGCGGUCGGGAUCGAGGAACGCAGCGCGCCGUAAGGCAGGGGUUCGCCCACUUUCGCGCUUAGGAUGCUGGCGUAAUGGCUUUAAACGACCCGUCUUGAAACACGGACCAAGGAGUCUAACAUACCUGCGAGUGUUUGGGUGGAAAACCCGAGCGCGUAAUGAAAGUGAAAGUUGAGACCUCUGUCGUGGAGGGCAUCGACGCCCGGACCUGACGUUCUCUGACGGAUCCGCGGUAGAGCAUGUAUGUUGGGACCCGAAAGAUGGUGAACUAUGCCUGAAUAGGGUGAAGCCAGAGGAAACUCUGGUGGAGGCUCGUAGCGAUUCUGACGUGCAAAUCGAUCGUCAAAUUUGGGUAUAGGGGCGAAAGACUAAUCGAACCAUCUUGGUCCG
rnacentral:rRNA from 1 species